AAAAGUGUUGCACCUGGGAUGUUUGGGUAUGAUGUGAGGCCUCUUGCAGUGCUACAGUUGCUGGUGCUGCUGCCCUGCCACAGAGGAGAUCUGUCUGAUGGGCCGGGGAGCUGAGCAGGUCAUCUUCCCAUGACUGGGACUGCCAGCUGCAGCCCCAUGGAGCCAAAGUGGAGGCAGCAGGACCCUGCAGCGAGCAGCCAGCAAGUACUGCCAGAAAGGAUCCAUUGCCCUGCAUCCACCACAGGACUCCUCCAGGGCCUGACUUGCAACGAACUACAUGCAGAAUGGUGCUCUGAAUUCAAAGAGCUGAAAAAGCUCAAGACUUCAUCUUGAGUAGUGUAGGUCUCAGAAUGACCUUUGAUUUAAAAGAAGUCAUCCCACUUGGCUCAAGGAAAAAGAAUCUGGACUUCGAUGAGGUGAGAUGGGGCUUGUG